UACGUAGGGUGCGAGCGUUAAUCGGAAUUACUGGGCGUAAAGCGUGCGCAGGCUGUUCUGUAAGUCAGAUGUGAAAUCCCCGAGCUCAACUUGGGAACUGCGUUUGAAACUACAGGACUAGAAUAUGUCAGAGGGGGGUAGAAUUCCACGUGUAGCAGUGAAAUGCGUAGAGAUGUGGAGGAAUACCAAUGGCGAAGGCAGCCCCCUGGGAUCAAUGAUUAGUAC
rnacentral:rRNA from 1 species